CAGCCGCCGCGGGAAUACGUAGGUGGCAAGCGUUGUCCGGAAUUAUUGGGCGUAAAGGGCUCGCAGGCGGUUUCUUAAGUCUGAUGUGAAAGCCCCCGGCUCAACCGGGGAGGGUCAUUGGAAACUGGGAAACUUGAGUGCAGAAGAGGAGAGUGGAAUUCCACGUGUAGCGGUGAAAUGCGUAGAGAUGUGGAGGAACGCCAGUGGCGAAGGCGACUCUCUGGUCUGUAACUGACGCUGAGGAGCGAAAGCGUGGGGAGCGAACAGGAUUAGAUACCCGCGUAGUCCCUGUCUCUUAUAC
rnacentral:rRNA from 1 species